UAGCGGGGAAAUGCGUAGAGAUCUGAAGGAAUACCAGUGGCGAAGGCGGCCCCCUGGACAGACACUGACACUCAGAUGCGAAAGCGCCGGGAGCAAACAGGAUUAGAUACCCUGGUAGUCCACGCCGUAAACGAUGUCUACUUGGAGGUUGUGGCCUUGAACCGUGGCUUUCGGAGCUAACGCGUUAAGUAGACCGCCUGGGGAGUACGGUCCCAAGAUUAAAACUCAAAUGAAUUGACGGGGGCCCGCACAAGCGGUGGAGCAUGUGGUUUAAUUCGAUGCAACGCGAAGAACCUUACCUACUCUUGACAUCCAGAGAAGCCAGCGGAGACGCAGGUGUGCCUUCGGGAGCUCUGAGACAGGUGCUGCAUGGCUGUCGUCAGCUCGUGUUGUGAAAUGUUGGGUUAAGUCCCGCAACGAGCGCAACCCUUAUCCUUGUUUGCCAGCGAGUAAUGUCGGGAACUCCAGGGAGACUGCCGGUGAUAAACCGGAGGAAGGUGGGGACGACGUCAAGUCAUCAUGGCCCUUACGAGUAGGGCUACACACGUGCUACAAUGGCGCAUACAGAGGGCAGCAAGCUAGCGAUAGUGAGCGAAUCCCAAAAAGUGCGUCGUAGUCCGGAUUGGAGUCUGCAACUCGACUCCAUGAAGUCGGAAUCGCUAGUAAUCGUGAAUCAGAAU
rnacentral:rRNA from 1 species